AAUAUACUUUUCUUUUUGCUCAGUGACUAAUAAACUGGCAACAUUUGUUUCCAAGAUGUGUUGCAUUAUAUGUACCUAACACAAAAACUUAAUUCUGUGAUCAAAACAAAAAAAUGUCUUUAAAAAAAGUGUUUCAUUCAAAACUGGCAAUGAAAAUAACUUUUUGCAUGAGAUGUUUGAAAUGUAAUAAAUAGUAGAAAACUGACAACUUUUCAAACUAGAUAAUUGGAAGCACAUCUACAUUGUAACAAUUGUUGAAUCAUUUGUGUUCUCUCUUCCCACACUGAAACAUCACAUGCCUUUCUCUCCCCUCCCUCUUCUGUUGCCAUAUAAAACAAAAGCAUUUAAAUCAUCUGAGAUUGACUCAUCAUUUAUCAUGCCUCUUCAUGGUCCACAAGUUUAGUGCUUGUAAACUGGGAGAAUUAGAGGAAAACACUACUACAUGCAAUAUUCUGGCAUAUUUGAUUGAUUGAAAAAAAACAGGACAUUGGCUGCACCCUACACCAUGAUUUAUUCUAGUAUUAUUGAGUCUGUCUAUUUAACGACAAAACUCGUACAGAGACCAGGUAAAUACUGUGAACAUUGCUACUAGUGAUUAUUGUUUUUUCCUCUUGGAUUUUAAACAAGUCUCAGGUCAAAUGUGAGCUUGGAAUGAAUGCUUUUUUAUAAUUUUGUUUGGUGUCAAGAUGUACACAAGUUUAGAAGCCAUAUUGCUAAAUAUAGAAAUCUGUACUACCAGUAUUGGGAUAAAAAUUAUUUUGUUUCAAUACAAUGACUGCCUGAGCAUAACAGUUUGUUUAUUGUGUCAGCCAAUACAAUACAUGUAUAUUUUGAUUGUUAUAAAUUUGUGUAUGGUUCUAACUUGAUUUUUAUAUAUUAUAUAUAUAUAUAUUUGUAGCUUUUUAAUAUUUUUUUCUUCUGUGGUUUUAAAAUAGUUGUGACCUUUGACACAAAAUGUUUGACUAAUGAAUACAAUGUUUGACUAAGUCA